AGAAUUGCCAAAUUGAUCUUUCUACUUGGAUGUCUGACAGAGCCCUCAAGCUCAACAUGUUCAAAACUGAGCUCUUUUUACAAGGUGUUCACUGAAAAUAUGGUUCACCUUUUUAAAAACAUCAUGGUAGGCGGAGCUUCAAGAUGGCGGAAGAGUAAGACGUGGAGAUCACCUUCCUCCCUACAAAUACAUCAGAAAUACAUUUACGUAUGGAACAACUCCUACAGAACACCUACUGAACGCUGGUAGAAGACCUCAGACCUCCCAAAAGGAGAGGAGAUUAAGAGCGCCGCUUAAAGGAGCUCCAGAGACGGGCGCGAGCCGCGGCUAACAGCGCGGACCCCGGAGACGGGCAUGAGACGCUAAGGCUGCUGCUGCCGCCACCAAGAAGCCUGUGUGCGAGCACAGGUCCUAUCCACACCCCCCUUCUGGGGAGACUGUGCAGCCCGCCACUACCAGGGUCCCGGGUUCCAGGGACAGCUUCCCCAGGAAAACAAACGGCGCGCCUCAAGCUGGUGCGACGUCACGCCGGCCUCUGCCUCCACAGGCUUGCCCCGCACUCUGUACCCGUCCCCUCUCCUCACCCCGGCCUGAGUGAGCCAGAGUCCCUGAAGCAGCUGCUCCUUUAACCCCGUCCUGUCUGAGCAAAGAACAGACGCCCUCAGGCAACCUACACGCAGAGGUGGGUCCAAAUGCAAAGCUGAACCCCGGGAGCUGUGCAAACAAAGAAGAGAAAGGGAAACCUCUCCCAGCAGCCUCAGGAGCAGCGGAUUAAAUCUCCACAAUCAAUUUGAUGUACCCUGCAUCUGUGGAAUACCUGAAUAGACAACGAAUCAUCCCAAAUUGAGUAGGUGGGCUUUGGGAGCAACGAUAUACAUAUUUUUUUCCCUUUUUCUUUUUUUGUGAGUGUAUAUGUAUAUGCUUCUGUGGGAGAUUUUGUCUGUAUAGCUUUGCUUUUACCAUUUGUCCUAGGGUUCUGUCUGUCCGUUUUCUGGUUUUUUUUUUUUUUUUUUUUGUAUAGAUUUUAGCACUUGUUAUCAUUGGUGGUUUUGUUUUUUGGUUUGGUUGCUCUCUUCUUUCUUUUUUUUUAUUACUUGAAAAAAAUUUUUUUCAUAAUCUUUAUUUUAAUAACUUUUUAUUUUAUUUUACUUUAUAUUAUCUUCUUUUUUCUUUCUUUAUUUCUCCCUUUUAUUCUGAGCCGUGUGGAGGACAGGCUCUUGGUGCUCCAGCCAGGUGUCAGGGCUGUGCCUCUGAGGUGGGUGAGACAAGUUCAGGACACUGGUCCACAAGAGACCUUCCAGCUCCACGUGAUAUCAAACAGUGAAAUUCUCCCAGAGAUCUCCAUCUCAACACCAAGACCCAGCUGCACUCAACGACCAGCAAGCUACAGUGCUGGACACCCUAUGCCAAAAAACUAGCAAGACGGGAACACAGCCCUGUCCAUUAGCAGAGAGGCUGCCUAAAAUCAUAAUAAGGCCACAGACACCCCAAAACUCACCAGCAGACGUGGACUUGCCCACCAGAAAGGCAAGAUCCAGCCACAUCCACCAGAACACAGGUACUAGUACCCUCCACCAGGAAGCCUACACAACCCACUGAACCAACCUUAGCCACUGGGGACAGACACGAAAAACAACAGGAACUACAAACCUGCAGCCUGCAAAAAGGAGAACCCAAACACAGUAAGUUAAACAAAAUGAGAAGACAGAGAAACACACAGCAGAUGAAGGAGCAAGGCAAAAACCCACCAGACCUAACAAAUGAAGAGGAAAUAGGCAGUCUACCUGAAAAAGAAUUCAGAAUAAUGAGAGUAAAGGUGAUCCAAAAUCUUGGAAAUAGAAUGGAGAAAAUACAAGAAACGUUUAACAAGGACCUAGAAGAACUAAAGAGAAAACAGGCAAUGAUGAACAACACAAUAAAUCAAAUUAAAAAUUCUCUAGAAGGUAUCAAUAGCAGAAUAACUGAGGCAGAAGAAUGAAUAAGUGACCUGGAAGAUAAAAUAUGGGAAAAACUACUGCAGAGCAUAAUAAAGAAAAAAUAAUGAAAAGAAUUGAGGACAGUCUCAGAGACCUCUGGGACAACAUUAAAUGCACCAACAUUCGCACCAAUAUUCCAUGCAAAUGGAAAGCAGAAGAAAGCUGGAGUAGCAAUUCUCAUAUCAGACAAAAUAGACUUUAAAACAAAGACUAUUACAAGAUACAAAGAAGGACACUACAUAAUGAUCAAGGGAUCAAUCCAAGAAGAAGAUAUAACAGUUGUAAAUAUUUAUGCACCCAACAGAGGGGCACCUCAAUACAUAAGGCAAAUACAGCCAUUAAAGGGGAAAUCGACAGUAACACAAUCAUAGUAGGGGAAUUUAACACCCCACUUUCACCAACGGACAGAUGAUCCAAAAUGAAAAUAAAUAAGGAAACACAAGCUUUAAAUGAUACAUUAAACAAGAUGGACUUAAUUGAUAUUUAUAGGACAUUCCAUCCAAAAAGAACAGAAUACACAUUCUUUUCAAGUGCUCAUGGAACAUUCUCCAGGAUAGAUCAUAUCUUGGGUCACAAAUCAAGCCUUGGUAAGUUUAAGAAAAUUGAGAUCAUAUCAAAUAUCUUUUCCGACCACAAUGCUGUGAGACUAGAUAUCAAUUACAGGAAAAAAUCUGUUUAAAAUACAAACUUAUGGAGGCUAAACAAUACACUACUUAAUAACCAAGAAAUCACUGAAGAAAUCAAAGAGGAAAUCAAAAAAUACCCAGAAACAAAUGACAAUGAAAACACAAUCAUCCAAAACCUAUGGGAUUCAGCGGAAGCAGUUCUAAGAGGGAAGUUUAUAGCAAUACAAUCCUACCUUAAGAAACAGGAAACAUCUCAAAUAAACAACCUAAUCUUGCACCUAAAGCAAUUAGAGAAAGAAGAACAAAAAAAACCCGAAGUUAGCAGAAGGAAAGAAAUCAUAAAGAUCACAUCAGAAAUAAAUGAAAAAGAAAUGAAGGAAAUGAUAGCACAGACCAAUAAAACUAAAAGCUGGUUCUUUGAAAAGAUAAACUAAAUUGGUAAACCAUUAGCCAGACUCAUCAAGAAAAAAGGGAGAAGACUCAAAUCAAUAGAAUUAGAAAUGAAAAAGGAGAAGUAACAAAUGACACUGCAGAAAUACAAAGGAUCAUGAGAGAUUACUACAAGCAACUCUAUGCCAAUAAAAUGGACAACCUGGAAGAAAUGGACAAAUCUUUAGAAAUACACAACCUUCUGAGACUGAACCAGGAAGAAAUAGAAAAUAUGAAUAGACCAAUCACAGGCACUGAAAUUGAAACUGUGAUUAAAAAUCUUCCAACAAACAAAAGCCUAGGACCAGAUGGCUUCACAGGUGAAUUCUAUCAAACAUUUAGAGAAGAGCUAACACCUAUCCUUCUCAAACUCUUCCAAAAUAUAGCAGAGGGAGGGACACUCCCAAACUUAUUCUAUGAGGCCACCAUCCCCCUGAUACCAAAACCAGACCCAGAUGUCACAAAGAAAGAAAACUACAGGCCAGUAUCACUGAUGAACAUAGAUGCAAAAAUCCUCAAGAAAAUACUAGCAAACAGAAUCCAGCAGAACAUUAAAAGCAUCACACACCAUGAUCAAGUGGGGUUUAUCCCAGGAAUGCAAGGAUUCUUCAAUAUACACAAAUCAAUCAAUGUGAUACACCAUAUUAAGAAAUUUAAAGAGAAAAACCAUAUGAUCAUCUCAAUAGAUGCAGAGAAAGGUUUCAAAAAAAUUCAACACCCACUUACGAUAAAAACUCUCCAGAAAGUAGACAUAGAGGGAACUUUCCUCCACAUAAUAAAGGCCAUAUAUGACAAACCCACAGCCAACAUCAUCGUCAAUGGUGAAAAACUGAAACCGUUUCCACUAAGAUCAGGAACAAGACAAGGUUGCACACUCUCACCGCUAUUAUUAUUAUAGUUUUGGAAGUUUUAGACACAGCAAUCAGAGAAGAAAAAGAACUAAAAGGAAUCCAAACUGGAAAGGAAGAGUAAAGCUGUCACUGUUUGCAGAUGAAAUGAUACUAUACAUAGAGAAUCCUAAAGAUGCUACCAGAAAACUACUAGAGCUAAUCAAUGAAUUUGGUAAAGUAGCAGGAUACAAAAUUAAUGCACAGAAAUCUCUUGCAUUCCUGUACUCUAAUGAUGAAAAAUCUGAAAGAGAAAUUUAGGAAACGCUCCCAUUUACCACUGCAACAAAAGGAAUAAACCCACCUAAGGAGCCCAAAGACCUGUAUGCAGAAAAUUAUAAGACACUGAUGAAAGAAAUUAAAGAUGAUACAAAUAGAUGGAGAGAUAUACCAUGUUCUUGGAUUGGAAGAACCCACAUUGUGAAAAUGACUCUACUACCCAAAGUGAUCUACAGAUUCAAUGCAAUCCCUAUCAAACUACCAAUGGCAUUUUUCACAGAACUAGAAUAAAAAAUUUUGCAAUUUGUAUGGAAACACAAAAGACCCCGAAUAGCCAAAGCAAUCUUGAAGAAGAAAAACGGAGCUGGAGGAAUCAGGCUCCCUGACUUCAGACUAUAUUACAAACAUACAGUAACCAAGACAGUAUGGUACUGGCACGAAAACAGAAAUACAGAUCAAUGGAACAGGAUAGAAAGCCCAGAGAUAAACCCACACACAUAUAGUCACCUUAUCUUUGAUAAAGGAGGCAAGAAUAUACAGUGGAGAAAAGACAGCCUCUUCAAUAAGUGGUGCUGGGAAAACUGGACAGCUACAUGUAAAAGAAUGAAUUUAGAACACUACACAAAAAUAAACUCAAAAUGGAUUAAAGACCUAGAUGUAAGGCCAGACACUAUCAAAUUCUUAGAGGAAGACAUGGGCAGAACACUCUAUGACAUAAAUCACAGCAAGAUCCUUUUUGACCCACCUCCUAGAGAAAUGGAAA